rnacentral:rRNA from 1 species
AUUGAACGCUGGCGGCAGGCCUAACACAUGCAAGUCGAGCGGAUGAGGAGAGCUUGCUCUCUGAUUUAGCGGCGGACGGGUGAGUAAUGCCUAGGAAUCUGCCUGGUAGUGGGGGAUAACGUCCGGAAACGGGCGCUAAUACCGCAUACGUCCUACGGGAGAAAGCAGGGGACCUUCGGGCCUUGCGCUAUCAGAUGAGCCUAGGUCGGAUUAGCUAGUUGGUGAGGUAAUGGCUCACCAAGGCGACGAUCCGUAACUGGUCUGAGAGGAUGAUCAGUCACACUGGAACUGAGACACGGUCCAGACUCCUACGGGAGGCAGCAGUGGGGAAUAUUGGACAAUGGGCGAAAGCCUGAUCCAGCCAUGCCGCGUGUGUGAAGAAGGUCUUCGGAUUGUAAAGCACUUUAAGUUGGGAGGAAGGGCAGCAAGUUAAUACCUUGCUGUUUUGACGUUACCGACAGAAUAAGCACCGGCUAACUUCGUGCCAGCCGCCGCCGUAACAC